UACGUAGGGGGCUAGCGUUGUCCGGAAUCAUUGGGCGUAAAGCGCGUGUAGGCGGUCCGGUAAGUCCGCUGUGAAAGUCGGGGGCUCAACCCUCGGAUGCCGGUGGAUACUGUCGGGCUUGAGUACGGAAGAGGCGAGUGGAAUUCCUGGUGUAGCGGUGAAAUGCGUAGAGAUCAGGAGGAACACCCGUGGCGAAGGCGGCGCCCUGGUCCGUUUCUAACGCUGAGACGCGAAAGCGCGGGGAGCGAACGGG
rnacentral:rRNA from 1 species